GGCCGCGGGAAUUCGAUUAGAGUUUGAUCAUGGCUCAGCCUGUACGCUGGCGGCGUGCUUAACACAUGCAAGUCGAACGGACUCAUAUUGAAACCUAGUGAUUUAUGAGUUAGUGGCGGACGGGUGAGUAACGCGUGGAUAACCUGCCGUAUACCGGGGGAUAACACUUAGAAAUAGGUGCUAAUACCGCAUAAGCGCACGGCUCCGCAUGGGGCAGUGUGAAAAACUCCGGUGGUAUACGAUGGAUCCGCGUCUGAUUAGCUAGUUGGCGGGGUAACGGCCCACCAAGGCAGCGAUCAGUAGCCGGCCUGAGAGGGUGGACGGCCACAUUGGGACUGAGACACGGCCCAAACUCCUACGGGAGGCAGCAGUGGGGAAUAUUGCACAAUGGGGGAAACCCUGAUGCAGCGACGCCGCGUGAGUGAAGAAGUAUCUCGGUACGUAAAGCUCUAUCAGCAGGGAAGAAAAUGACGGUACCUGACUAAGAAGCCCCGGCUAACUACGUGCCAGCAGCCGCGGUAAUACGUAGGGGGCAAGCGUUAUCCGGAUUUACUGGGUGUAAAGGGAGCGUAGACGGCAGCACAAGUCUGGAGUGAAAUCCCGGGGCUUAACCCCGGAACUGCUUUGGAAACUGUGCGGCUGGAGUGCAGGAGGGGUAAGCGGAAUUCCUAGUGUAGCGGUGAAAUGCGUAAAUAUUAGGAGGAACACCGGUGGCGAAUGCGGCUUACUGGACUGUAACUGACGUUGAGGCUCGAAAGCGUGGGGAGCCAACAGGAUUAGAUACCCUGGUAGUCCCCGCCGUAAACGAUGAUUACUAAGUGUCGGGGGAUCAGGUUCCUCCGGUGCCGGCGCAAAACGCAUUAAGUAAUCCCCCUGGGGGAGUACGUUUCCCAAAAAUGAAACUCAAAGGAAU
rnacentral:rRNA from 1 species